UAUAGGAAAGAAGUUAAAAUUUUGAAAUACUUCAGUGAUGUGAUCAGCAGACAGUAGUGGGAAAGUAUUUCUCCUAAACUUGACUGGUGAUCAAAAUAAGGAAGGAAGAUCUGAAAGAGCAGAAAAUAUUUUUGUUAAUCAGGAUAUGGCACUUUCCAACAUCUGGAUGUCAAAACACUUGCUUUGAAUUCAAUACUAUUAACAUGUGUAAUUUAAAUGAAUUUUUUUCUCCAGAGCCAAUUGGGUGGCUACGAUUCUUGGCAAGGUUUUUGCAGUUUGUUGCUUACAUUACCUGACCCGUGGUCUGUUUGUCUUACGAUCUCUGUGGGAAAAAAACAGCAAGAGACAUCAACCCCCACCCUGCCUACCCGAAAAAAGCAAUGCCACAAAGCUCUGAAAAUAGAUCAGAACCCAGAAACAAAGUUCUAGGAUGAAGUCUCAUCCUUCCACUGAACCAUUUUGACCAGAAGGUAACCUCAUGGGAUUUCUGCUGCUUUUGCCUGUGACAUCAUGUAACAUCAAAUGAGAAAGCAUCUGAUUCUUCUGAAUAUCAAUGAGACAUGAUUAAACUGAAUACAACAGCUUGGGAAUCCAGGAAAAAAAAAGUUUGAAUAAAAGGUCAGAGAAAGAUCAGGCAUCAGCUCUGGCUCUUCGCAAAAUGAUAAAACUAACAGGGAAUGACUCAGCUAGCCCUGAUGAAAAAGCUCCUUUCUUUGCAGUGUAAACAACACAGUCUGUGUUCUUGAAAUCCCAGACUGAAACAUCAACCAGCACUGGAAAAUACGAUACCCCAGAAUGCCUUCCCUGUCCUGGGCAUAGCCUGUCACCAGUAUUUCAGGGGAUCUUAUUCACUGCGACUGGGACUAACUACUCAGAAGAGACUUCUGCAUGAGUAAAAGGGAAAAAAGCUUGUGUGUGGACUGACCUCAAGAGUGUGAAGCAAAUAUUUUGUUUCAAAUCAACUUUUGACCCAUUUCUGAAGUAAAUUGAGUGACCAGUAAUUGAAACCAGCAAAAAAAAAAAAAAAAAGAGAAAAAGAAAAAGGAGCAAGAGAUUAAAUCAAUUCAUUGGACCUGAAACUGCAUGAGUAGCAGUUCACACAAGGGGAUCUCUAGCCACUCGAUUUGACUUAAGAUCCUUCUGAAGUUAUGCAAACUGAGAUUCUGCUAUCUGAUGAACUAAGACUAAAAUCCAGUUCUGCUGGAGAACUUGGAGAUCAAUUAUCUUGUACACUGGAGUAAAUAAAAAGAUAAGCUGUGCUCUAGACUUUGCUCCAUUUUAGGAGCUGUUUUGUUUUUAAAGAUCUAUGACUGGGAAGUUUUUUGAGAGGUUGUUUGAGAGGCUCACUUACUUUUCAUGGAAAAUCUUAAAAAUAUUUAUAACUCAUGAUGAAAAAAGAGAUAUGCCAGAAAAUUCUCAGAGAACACAUUCAGUACACAGGGCAAAUGUUGUAAUUUGGCUGGGGGUGGGGAGGAGAAGUAAUGCACUUUUUUUGUCCUUGAGAGGACUUAGUUUUUGCUAUGACCACAAAUCUCCAUUCAACCUGAACUGUGAGAGCUCUUUUUGUUGACAUACUAAAGAUCAGCCUUGAAUUGCUCUUAUUUCUUGAAGACUUGAGAACUGAGACCAUGACACUCUCUUUUGACUUAUGGAGUGAUCACAAUGAAAUGUUUAAAUAAAUAAUAUCACCGUCACAAAAGACAAG
rnacentral:lncRNA from 1 species